GUUCAAUGUCGACCGAGCGCCAUAAAGUGCUACAAAAGUGCCGGAAUCUACCCCCACCCUGCACCCGCAAGCAGCUAUCAGAAUGAAUCGAGAAUCAAAUUCAAAAACGUUCAAUCUUGUUGAGACAAAAUGAGACAAAAUUAGGAUUCAUAUAUUAUAAAAUCUUAUUGGAUGAUGAAGCUCCGGUGAAGUAUUGCCGAUGAGCUCAGGUCAACGCAUAUCGCUAAGAUAACUUCAUCACGGAAAAAACUAAGCACCUAAACCAGCAGUGAUGAUUAACUACCAUCUCGAUAUCAGAAGGAAACCAGUACGAAUUCGCAAACUGCACCGAAAAAGAAAACUUUGAUGCUGGGAACGGUUGUAAUGAACCGGACGGCAAUGCUAUGGGGGAACAUUCCUUUAAUUCAAAGUUUAUUUCUUACUUGUUAUUACUCAAUUUUAGUAUCGGGGACCGUUUAUCUUUAGAUAGCUCACAACAAAUAAUUCUCAAUCCGUAUAGCGGAUUCUUAUACAGUGCUAG